rnacentral:rRNA from 1 species
GGCCUGCGCGGAAGAUGUAACGGGGCUAAACCAUGCACCGAAGCUGCGGCAGCGACGCUUAUGCGUUGUUGGGUAGGGUAGCUUUCUGUAAGCUUGGGAAGGUGUGCUGUGAGGCAUGCUGGAGGUAUCAGAAGUGCGAAUGCUGACAUAAGUAACGAUAAAGCGGGUGAAAAGCCCGCUCGCCGGAAGACCAAGGGUUCCUGUCCAACGUUAAUCGGGGCAGGGUGAGUCGACCCCUAAGGCGAGGCCGAAAGGCGUAGUCGAUGGGAAACAGGUUAAUAUUCCUGUACUUGGUGUUACUGCGAAGGGGGGACGGAGAAGGCUAUGUUGGCCGGGCGACGGUUGUCCCGGUUUAAGCGUGUAGGCUGGUUUUCCAGGCAAAUCCGGAAAACUAAGGCUGAGGCGUGAUGACG